GAUAUACAACGGAAAGGUGGGCUGAGGCUGCGGCGGUGGAGGCUGUAGGGUGAAGCCCUUUUUAGGCGGUCCAGGGGGAUCUGGACACAGUCGGAGUAGAUCUCUGUCAGCAGGAAAGCUCCUGAUGCCAGCUGCAGACGCACCUGGUUAGAGAACACGUGGACAUUAGUCUCUGCAGAUAAACAGUGGGACUUGAGAGGAAUCUGCUUUCCUGAUGAAAUGGAGGACCUGAGUCUGCCCAGUUGAAACCUGGAACAUGUAAAAAAUAUCUACAUUUGAAUUGGACAUAAUAUGCGCCACUCCAAGGUAACCUAAACACAAACACUGCCAUGAAGGAAGUUUAGCGCUAUAGUAGUAUAAUCAUUCAAAGCCACAAAAACAUUGGUGCCCAAACUGAAGGUGUAUCACUCAAAAAAGGUUAAAAUAAAUACAUGCCAAUGAGAACAUUCUAAAAACAAACAAACAUUAAAACGAGUCAAUUUUAACAUAAGUAAUUUUUCUCUAAUAACAGUUUCAUUUAAUUUGAAUGUUUUCUUUACCUGGUGCCAAAGAAGCUCUCCAUAGACUUGCUCUCUAUAGAUCGCUGUGAGCGAGUGCAUGGGGCGCCAGCGAUUGCUGGAGCUGUCGCAGAGUUGGCACAACCCCCUACACCUAAGACAGCAGCGUGGAAUAAAACAUUAACCGACUCGGCUUGAGUUUGAACGGGCUUUCUGGUAGGACGCCUCUAACCUUUGGACUACGCUGCAGAGGAGUGUUCUCACCGAGCGAGUCGACAGUAAUACUUACUAGAGUCCCAGGAUGUAAGGCUACAUGAGUUCCAGGUGUCCUCCAUCUCCUCACUGUCUCUACUGGUACGCCGUCGGCCCAAACCUAUAGAAUAGGCUCGCUGCCUACGACUACCUGACUGGGAACCCCUGCUCCCCAAAUACACCCCUGCACACACGGACCACAAAUACAGAAUGACAUUAGUCCCUGGUGUCCCCUCGCCCUCAGGGGUCCAGAGGUGCCCCAGGUCAACACUGACCUCCCAGGACACUGGCCUGCCGCUGAGCAGGCCGUGAAUGAGCGAGCGGCACUGACCUGGAGGGGGAUCCUCUGGCUGGACGGCAGUGAAGAGGUACUCUGGAUCUGUGAAGUUGUCCCAGUCCAUAGGAGAGGCGGGGAACAGAAGACCAUCUGUGGGUCAGAGUGAGAAAGUGAGGGGUAGAUAUUUGAUGCACAAUCCCGGUUUUCUUAGUAGUGUCUUACUGGAGUCAGUGAGGCUUCUGUGGGACAGUGCCCCUCGUGGCGGGGGCUUCGUUUCCCCGUCACUUUCGUCCAGCCUCCCUCCCAGCGCUUGGUCGAAGGAGACCCUCUCCAGAGCUCUCCUCAAACGAUGC